UUUUUAUACGACCGCAAAAAAUUUUUGCGGUCGUAUAUUGGUAUGACGUUGGCAUCGUCGUCGUCGUCGUCUGGCGUCGUCCGGCGUCGUCCGAAGAUACAUUGGUUUUCGCACUCUAACUUUAGUUUAAGUGAAUGGAUCUCUAUGAAAUUUUACCAUAAGGUUCAAUACCACAAAAUGAAGGUUGGGAUUGAUUUUGGUGGUUAUGGUACCAACAGUUAAGGAAUUAGGGGCCAAAAAGGGACCAAAAAUAAGCAUUUUUGUAACUUCCAGACAUAACUUGUGUGUUAGUGUAUGGAUCUCUCUGACAUUGUACCACAAGGUUCCAUAUCACAAAGGGAAUGCUGGGAUUGAUUUAUGGGGUAAUUGCCUCAAAAUUUUAGGAAUUAGGGGCCAUAAAAGGGGCAAAAAACAAGCAUUUUUAUAUGGACAAAUACUUUAAUACAAAACAUAAUUUAAAGCAGUGUAAGGGAGAUAAAUCAAAUGCAUCAUUUGAAUUACCUCCCUUACACUGCUUUUAAACUAUUUAUAAAGUAAUGGUUAAUGAACAAUUAAGACAAUUUAAAACAGUGUAAGGGAGGUAAUCCACAUAUAACACUUUGAUUACUUCCCUUACACUGCUUUUAAAUUAUGUUUAAAGAAAUGCAUAUUUAUAAAGGAAGACCAGUAAAAAUAUCUGCAUUUUACAAAAAAAUCCAUAUGAAAGAUUUGACACCGUAUUUUAAAUUCUAUUAUAAAAUAAAUUAAGUUAGCACUAUGGUAAAUUUAAAUGGGUAAUUAUGGUUGCAAAUUCCAUUGGAAAUUUGAAUUGAGAUUAUGACCAUAU